CAUUUGGGUUCGAGAUUCCAUCGCAAAAGUCGCCAAUCCGAUUAAAUCUGCAAAAAAGCACUAAAAACACCAACAAAAUAAAAAUAAAAAUCAAUACAGAUUUACAACAGCAGCAACAUGAAUGUUGAGGAGAUUCCAUGUUCAUCUCUAACUGUCGACCACACUCUUCCUGUUCCUCUUAUGAAACCUGCCCUCGUAAAGCUGUGCAAAGAUCUGUUUAAGAAAUGGUCAGAUUUGGAUGAAUCACACUUCUCUGCCGAGAGAGUCUCUGGUGGCAUCACAAACCUCUUGCUCAAGGUAUCCGUAGAGGAACAAAAUGGAAAUCUGGUGCAUGUCACAGUUAGACUGUAUGGUCCAAAUACAGAAUAUGUCAUCAAUCGAGAAAGGGAAUUACAGGCCAUUCAUUAUCUAUCAGCUGCAGGAUUUGGUGCCAAGUUGCUAGGAGUUUUUGGAAAUGGAAUGGUACAAUCAUUUAUACAUGCUCGUACAUUAGAACCAUUAGACUUGAGAAAGCCAAAAUUAGUUGCUGAAAUAGCAAAACAACUAAAUAGGUUUCAUCAGGUAGAGAUUCCAGGAUCUAAGGAACCUCAGCUAUGGAAUGACAUCUUCAAGUUUUUUGAAAGAGCAUCCACUCUUAAUUUUGAUGAUCAUGAUAAGAAAGAGAGAUAUAAUACAAUUUCAUUCAAGGAAGUGCAUACAGAACUUAUUGAGCUCAAGGAAUUGACAGGCCGUCUUGAUGCUCCAGUGGUGUUCGCUCAUAAUGACUUGCUUUCUGGAAAUCUGAUGCUAAAUGACGAUGAAGAGAAACUGUACAUCAUAGAUUUUGAAUAUGGAUCAUACAGCUACAGAGGGUUUGACAUUGGAAACCACUUCAAUGAAUAUGCAGGCUAUGAUUGUGACUACGCAUUGUAUCCAAAUAAGGAUGAGCAAUAUCAUUUCUUCAAGAAUUACUUGCAACCCGAAACACCGGAUAAGGUACCAGAUAAAGAUUUGAAAGCCCUCUAUGUUGAAACAAGCUGUUACAUGUUGGCGUCACACUUAUACUGGGCUCUGUGGGCUCUAAUCCAGGCGAAAAUGUCACCAAUAGAUUUUGACUAUCUUGGUUAUUUCUUUCUGAGAUACAAUGAAUACAAGCGACAGAAGGACACUUGUGUUUCAAUGGGAAAGUCUUACCUAGCUGGAUCUAGGACCUAAUAGUUUCGUGGAUCAAGGGUAGCCGUUUCAAGAAUCACAAAUCUUGCUAGCCGGUAGUUGUUUGUUGAAACUAUAUGCGUGGAAGUAAUCUCAUAAAGCAUCAAAGGGCUUUGACCGAAAGGAGGUAUAACGGUCCAAGAAUUUGAAACGUGGAUGGGCUAAUAAUUGGCAUGAAUGUUGGUCACGGUAAUUUCACUACUUUUUGGAUAGAUAUGAAUAAUUGGUAUGCAUAUAAAAGUGUCAUAAAAUUUAGUGAUGAUACAUGAUAUGAUCAGUAAAAAGAUUCAAACGUUCAGAGAAAGAAUUUGCCUAAAGUUAUUGUUUUGUUUGCCUUUCAAGCUUAGCCACUGAUCAUGUUGUGUUUCGACAUCAUACUUUGACAUAGCUGUAGGGGGAUAAUGGCACGGGAAUGUAACCAACUAUGACCAAAAGGUUAUGUAAUGUAACCAACUACUCGACUAGCUAUGUAGUGUAACCAACUUUGUUUUUUGGGUUAUGUAAUGUAAGCAACUGGAUACAAAACAAGUUGCCGGUUACCACUUUUAUUUUUA